rnacentral:rRNA from 1 species
UACGAUCGGUGACAGGUGGUGCAUGUGUCGUCAGCUCGUGUCGUGAGAUGUUGGGUUAAGUCCCGCAACCGAGCGCAACCCUCGACCUUAGUUGCCAGCAUUCAGUUGGGCACUCUAAGGUGACUGCCGGCUAAAAGUCGGAGGAAGGUGGGGAUGACGUCAAACCAUCAUGCCCCUUAUGACCUGGGCUACACACGUGCUACAAUGGGCGGUACAAAGGGUCGCGAACCCGCGAGGGGGAGCCAAUCCCAAAAAAGCCGCUCUCAGUUCGGAUUGCAGGCUGCAACUCGCCUGCAUGAAGCCGGAAUCGCUAGUAAUCGCGGAUCAGCAUGCCGCGGUCGAAUACGUUCCCGGGCCUU